AUACCUCAACUGUUGCUUCGGCGGGUAGUCGUCCCCUGAAAAGGACGUCUCCCGGCCCCCUCCCGUCCGCGGGUGGGGCGCCCGCCGGAGGAUAACCAAACUCUGAUUUAACGACGUUUCUUCUGAGUGACACAAGCAAAUAAUCAAAACUUUUAACAACGGAUCUCUUGGUUCUGGCAUCGAUGAAGAACGCAGCGAAAUGCGAUAAGUAAUGUGAAUUGCAGAAUUCAGUGAAUCAUCGAAUCUUUGAACGCACAUUGCGCCCGCCAGCAUUCUGGCGGGCAUGCCUGUUCGAGCGUCAUUUCAACCCUCAAGCUCUGCUUGGUGUUGGGGCUCUACGGUUGACGUAGGCCCUCAAAGGUAGUGGCGGACCCUCCCGGAGCCUCCUUUGCGUAGUAACAUUUCGUCUCGCAUUGGGAUUCAGAGGGACUCUUGCCGUAAAACCCCCAAUUUAUCUAAGGUUGACCUCGGAUCAGGUAGGAAUACCCGCUGAACUUAAGCAUAUCAAUAC
rnacentral:rRNA from 1 species